UUGUAGCCGUUUUGAAAUAUACAGUAUACAAUUAAAUAUAGUCAUCUUGCUGUGCAAUAAAACACAUGAACAAAAUUCUUGGAUUUUUAAUUUUCAAUCAUAAAAGUAGGUAAAACUGAGUAUGUUUAUUAAUGAAAGGAAUGAGUCCUCUUGAAUUGUAAAUAAAUCAUCCAUUUUACCACUACAUAAAUCAUAUGUAUUCUCUUGAUAGAGAAAAUUCAAUAAACAGGAUCUAGCUAUUUCCCUUACAAGUAACAAGUAAUAUACCAACAAGUAACAAAACAUCUAAAUCAAUUCUGAAUUCAAAAACAAAGUGAAAAACUUCUUUUCUUUGACACUGGUAAGGCUACAAAUAACAAAGAUCUCAAACCCAGCCCCUUUAUUAUUAAGGAAGGCCCAACGGCUACUUAAGGAUGAGGAAGGUAAAUGUGCUUAAUGAAAGUGCUCACUUCCAGUGAAAUAAAGCUCAAAGUGUUCCCUUUAGAAAAAAGUGGAACAGAAAUCUAGAUAGUUUCCUAAAAGUACUCUUGGAAUUUCUAGAGGAAAAGCUGAUGUUACAGAGAA